GUCUUGACAUCCACAGAACCUUGUAGAGAUACGAGGGUGCCUUCGGGAACUGUGAGACAGGUGCUGCAUGGCUGUCGUCAGCUCGUGUUGUGAAAUGUUGGGUUAAGUCCCGCAACGAGCGCAACCCUUAUCCUUUGUUGCCAGCGGUCCGGCCGGGAACUCAAAGGAGACUGCCAGUGAUAAACUGGAGGAAGGUGGGGAUGACGUCAAGUCAUCAUGGCCCUUACGACCAGGGCUACACACGUGCUACAAUGGCGCAUACAAAGAGAAGCGACCUCGCGAGAGCAAGCGGACCUCAUAAAGUGCGUCGUAGUCCGGAUUGGAGUCUGCAACUCGACUCCAUGAAGUCGGAAUCGCUAGUAAUCGUGGAUCAGAAUGUCACGGUGAAUACGUUCCCGGGCCUUGUACACACCGCCCGUCACACCAUGGGAGUGGGUUGCAAAAGAAGUAGGUAGCUUAACCUUCGGGAGGGCGCUUACCACUUUGUGAUUCAUGACUGGGGUGAAGUCGUAACAAGGUAACCGUAGGGGAACCUGCGGUUGGAUCACCUCCUUAC
rnacentral:rRNA from 1 species